UACGGGGGGGGCAAGCGUUGUUCGGAAUUACUGGGCGUAAAGGGUGCGUAGGUGGGUUGGUAAGUCAGUGGUGAAAUCCCCGAGCUUAACUUGGGAACUGCCAUUGAUACUAUCAGUCUUGAAUACCGUGGAGGUCAGCGGAAUAUGUCAUGUAGCGGUGAAAUGCUUAGAUAUGACAUAGAACACCAAUUGCGAAGGCAGCUGGCUACACGAAUAUUGACACUCAGGCACGAAAGCGUGGGGAUCAAACAGG
rnacentral:rRNA from 1 species